rnacentral:rRNA from 1 species
UACAGAGGGGGCAAGCGUUGUUCGGAAUUACUGGGCGUAAAGGGCGCGUAGGCGGCCUUCUAAGUCGAACGUGAAAUCCCUGGGCUCAACCCAGGAACUGCGUCCGAUACUGGAAGGCUUGAAUCCGGGAGAGGGAUGCGGAAUUCCAGGUGUAGCGGUGAAAUGCGUAGAUAUCUGGAGGAACACCGGUGGCGAAGGCGGCGUCCUGGACCAACACUGACACUGAGGAGCGAAAGCCAGGGGAGCAAACGGG